rnacentral:rRNA from 1 species
GGGGAAUUUUGGACAAUGGGGGCAACCCUGAUCCAGCCAUGCCGCGUGAGUGAAGAAGGCCUUCGGGUUGUAAAGCUCUUUCAGACGGAAAGAAAUCGCGCUCCCUAAUACGGGGUGUGGAUGACGGUACCGUAAGAAGAAGCACCGGCUAACUACGUGCCAGCAGCCGCGGUAAUACGUAGGGUGCGAGCGUUAAUCGGAAUUACUGGGCGUAAAGCGUGCGCAGGCGGUUGUGUAAGACAGGUGUGAAAUCCCCGGGCUUAACCUGGGAACUGCGCUUGUGACUGCACGGCUAGAGUACGGCAGAGGGGGGUGGAAUUCCACGUGUAGCAGUGAAAUGCGUAGAUAUGUGGAGGAACACCAAUGGCGAAGGCAGCCCCCUGGGCCGAUACUGACGCUCAUGCACGAAAGCGUGGGGAGCAAAC